rnacentral:rRNA from 1 species
GGGGCGGGAAAGGAACCUUACCAGGUCUUGGACAUCCUCUGACAAUCCUAGAGAUAGGACGUCCCCUUCGGGGGCAGAGUGACAGGUGGUGCAUGGUUGUCGUCAGCUCGUGUCGUGAGAUGUUGGGUUAAGUCCCGCAACGAGCGCAACCCUUGAUCUUAGUUGCCAGCAUUCAGUUGGGCACUCUAAGGUGACUGCCGGUGACAAACCGGAGGAAGGUGGGGAUGACGUCAAAUCAUCAUGCCCCUUAUGACCUGGGCUACACACGUGCUACAAUGGACAGAACAAAGGGCAGCGAAACCGCGAGGUUAAGCCAAUCCCACAAAUCUGUUCUCAGUUCGGAUCGCAGUCUGCAACUCGACUGCGUGAAGCUGGAAUCGCUAGUAAUCGCGGAUCAGCAUGCCGCGGUGAAUACGUUCCCGGGCCUUGUACACACCGCCCGUCACACCACGAGAGUUUGUAACACCCGAAGUCGGUGAGGUAACCUUUUAGGAGCCAGCCGCCGAAGGUGGGACAGAUGAUUGGGGUGAAGUCGUAACAAGGUAGCCGUAA